AUACCCUAUUAUUUAAGAGCUAAAUAUUGUAAGUAUAUAAUAAUUACGAAAGCAAAAAAUUAUGGCGGUAUUUUAAGCUUUUCAGAGGAAUUUGCUCUUUAAUGGAUAAAACACCUAAAUCUUACUUAAAUUUGUUAAAUCAACUUGUAUACCACUAUUAAAACAAUUAUUAACUUUAAUUGUUAAUAUUUAAAACAUAAAUUAAUUUAAAUUAAGUCAAGGUGCAGUAAAAAUUUAAGAAUGAAGUGAAUUACAUUACUUUUAAGGGAAAUAAAAUUAAAUAAAGUUUAGGAUUUGAAAGUAAAAUUAAAAUAGAAUGUUAAUUUGAAUUAAGCUCUAAAAUAUGUACAUAUCGCCCGUC
rnacentral:rRNA from 1 species